rnacentral:lncRNA from 1 species
AAGGCUGUUGUUGGAUCGGGGCUUUGGCAGCAGGGGCAAAACCAGCCUUGCUCUGAUACCAAGUUGAUGCCGGACCAAAUUUUAAAUAGAAGAAGGAGAAGAGGGGAAGAGAAGGAGGAAGAAGAAGAGAAGAAGGAGAAGGGAGGAGAAGAGAAGAAGAGGAAACGUGGGGGAAAGAAAUCUUUAAUUCUUCAUUAAAACCCUAAUCAACAUAAAGUUCCCUUUAAAUAGG